AUUGAACGCUGGCGGCGUGCCUAACACAUGCAAGUCGAGCGGUAACAGGUGUAGCAAUACAUGCUGACGAGCGGCGGACGGGUGAGUAACGCUUGGGAAUCUGCCUAUUAGUGGGGGACAACCCGGGGAAACUCGGGCUAAUACCGCAUACGCUCUACGGAGGAAAGCCGGGGACCGCAAGGCCUGGCGCUAAUAGAUGAGCCCAAGUCGGAUUAGCUAGUUGGUAGGGUAANGGCCUACCAAGGCGACGAUCCGUAACUGGUCUGAGAGGACGACCAGUCACACCGGAACUGAGACACGGUCCGGACUCCUACGGGAGGCACCAGUGGGGAAUAUUGGACAAUGGGCGAAAGCCUGAUCCAGCGACGCCGCGUGGGUGAAGAAGGCCUGCGGGUUGUAAAGCCCUUUCAGUGGGGAAGAAAAGCCUCGACCUACACGUCGGGUCUUGACGUAACCCAUAGAAGAAGCACCGGCUAACUCUGUGCCAGCAGCCGCCGU
rnacentral:rRNA from 1 species